rnacentral:lncRNA from 1 species
CCUCUUCACCGUGAAGUCCCAGAGCUCGCCGUACUUCUCAUUGAAGUCCCAGAUGUCCAUGGAGUUGUACUCAGCUAUCAACUUGUCACGAGCCGCUCGAUCCAUGUUAUAUAUCUGAGGCUCAAAAUUAUGAGGCUUAUCCGGCUUCCCCAUCUCAAUGGCACAGAAUACGACGACAAAGAUAGCUGCUCCUAUGUACAAAUACUCACCCUGCCAUGGACAUUUCAAUCAAGGAGUUACAUCUCAAAUAAGCAUCAGAUUGUUAGACCUCAGAAACUACUCGGCAAAAGUUCUCAAAAAAAUGAUCUGCUAAAAUCAUGUCUAGCACAGAAGAAAACCAUUAGCAUAAUAAGCUAUUUGCAAAAAAAAAAAAAAAAGGAAUUUUGCAGUUAAUUGAGAGACUAAUAUAUGGUCAUGUCAUAAGUAUAUGCUUGGAUGUGUUCAGGAGAUUUAACAGCAAAACACAGUUUUCAAACAUAUCGUGGAAUAAUGAUCAAGAUAAACACAUUCGUUAUCAAUUCAAACAACAUUGUUUAGGAAGUGCUUCUGGAGCAUAUUCUAAUUAAAUUGAAAUAUGAGAAUUUCUGCCAAUAUAAAUACAAAAUUUCACAUUUCAAAAGGAGUCGAUGAACAGCUGAAGUGAAAAUUUGGGAAUCUAGAGAAAACAUCGAUGAAAAUGUUUAUUUCAGUCAGUUCUUCUUAAUUAUCUAACCCUGCUGAAACCUUCAAGAAAUUCAAAACCAACAUGAGGAUACUGAAUGUUUCAUAUAAACAUGUGACUGUGUGAGAAUCCCAGCUCACAAGAAAAAGAGAUUCAAGUUUUAUUGAGGAAUAAAAUGUGCUUUCACAUCUCAUGCUUCAUUUGUGCUGCAGCACAAAUUGAGUCUUAAACACAAUUUCUCCGUAAGAUAUUGAGAAAUGAGAAUUUAUCAAUAGCAUGUGUUAAGCAGCAGGAGACUACUUAACUGGUACAUGGUAAGCCAAACCAGCUGUGACUGCAGGGAGAAACAACCAAGAAAUAAGCCCUGCAAGGAAUCGACAUGACAAAACUUGGUGAUUCAACAUGAG